rnacentral:hammerhead_ribozyme from 1 species
AUCCAGUUGACGAGUCUCAAAUAAGUUGAAACACACGUCCUGGAU